GUUAGGGCGCGUGAUCAUGCUGCGCCUGCCACGGACAAGCCAACGGAGAAGGUCCAAGCUGGGCCUCGUCGUUCCCUUCGGCCCAUCAUCCCCAAUGUCCGAAUCUCAGGUCCAGAGUGGAAAAGGCCCAUGUAAGUGUUCGUGUGAGUUGCGUGCGUGAUGUGCUCAGCUGAAGAUAAAUCAGCAGCGCGGUGCCGUUGUGCGCAUGUAUGCAAGAACAAGAACAGAACUCAUCUAAAGCUUCGUCGUUCCUCCUAUCUUCUUCUUCUUCCUCGUUGCCGAUUCCCUCCCACUACUCGGCUGCUAACAUCCUGGUAUCAGAGCCACGAUCCUGGAUCCCCUUCCUCCCCACCACCACUUCACGCGUCUGCAGAAACGCGCAGGAGCGAUGGAUCCCAACACCAAAAUCCUCCUCGACGAAAUCCACAAGUGCUUCUCCGACGAACUCCACAAGCGUUUUGCGGAGAGCGACCUCAAGUGGGAGCAUCGUUUCCUGGAAGCGGAGCGCCUCCAUGGUGACCGCAUCGUCAAGCUCGAGGCCGCAGCCAAGGUGUUCGAAGAAUGGCGCCCCCAGGUCGACGCCGCCGUCGAUGACGUCAAGCUUGAACUCGGCAAGCUGACUCGCCAUUGGGACCGUUCCGUACGCGACUCGGCGUCCGCGGAACCCGGCAUCUUCCCCACGCCUCAGUCGGCGUCCGAGCGCCCAUCUGCUCCGGAUCUCACCACCGACGGCCCUCAUGGGCACCGCGUCGAUCACAUACACCGGGAUGACGGGUAUGGGUCAGUAUUCACCCAUACCUCAAUCCCGGUCAAGGGUGCGUCUCCCAUCCCUAACCCUACUUUUCCUCGUUCGCAUUCGCGUCCUUAUGGCAAUCAUCAGGAUGAUUUCUAUCAGGAUAGUGUGCAUCUUGGCAAGUUACCCAAACUACAAUUUCCUGUUUUUGAGGGCGACAAUCCUAAAUUGUGGCUAUCUAGAUGUGAGGACUACUUUGAGAUGUACCGCGUCGAUCCUAAAAUCUGGGUUAAGGUUGCUGUCAUGCAGUUUGAGGUAUCUAGUGCCGCCGCUCGUUGGGCUUUAUUAGUGGACCGACAGUUAAAACGGGUUCCCUGGACUGAAUUCAGUGUUAUGUUAAUUGAUAGAUUUGGGCGAGACCAGCAAGAGCUCCUAAUCCGACAAUUGUUUCACAUUAAGCAAACGGGCACUGUUGCCGAAUAUGUUGCCAAGUUUACUGAAUUGCUAGAUCAGCUCAUAGCUUAUGGCCACUCUACUGAUCAACUGUAUUACAUCACUCGCUUUAUUGAUGGCUUACGUGAUGAUAUCCGCUCCACUGUUCUUGUUCAGCGUCCUUCUACUCUCGAUACUGCUUGCACUCUUGCCUUGCUGCAGGAAGAAGUGGCGGAUCCUUACAAACGACGGGAUUGGCGUCGCCCUGAACCAGGAUUUCCUCCAAGACCUCCGCCAAGGGGACCAUUACCUCUGCCACCCCCUCCUCGUCUUGACAAGGCUGUGAUGUCCUCUUCUAAUACUGUUGUGGCCUCUCAUCCUCCGGAUUUCAACAAGUCUCAGCUGGACAAGUUUGCUUCCCUUCGAGCUUAUCGGCGGGCUCGCGGACUGUGUGACAAAUGUGCUGAAAAAUGGCACCACGGCCACAAGUGUUCAGCUACUGUCCAGCUCAACGCCAUUCAAGAGGUUUUUGACUUGUUCUCUGUCGAAGAAGUCUCCCAGGUGCCUGAUGGUGUCAAUUAUGCUGGCUCUGAGCAUCAUUUUCAGGAACAGUUAUUUCUGGCACUCUCCAAAGAUGCAUCAGCUGGUACCGAGGGUCCUCGCACCAUGCAAUUGGAAGGAUCAAUCCAGAAUCUACCUCUGAAAAUUUUAGUUGACUCAGGCAGCUCCCAUACUUUCCUCAGUCACCACAUUGCUCAUAAACUGGAUGGAGUAGUUCCCCUGUCUAACUCUGUUCGGGUUCAGGUUGCUAAUGGUGCUGUCUUACAAUGUGUGGCCCAUAUCCCAAAUGGGACAUGGUUUAUUCAGGAGUUCAGUUUUGUUUCUGACAUCAAGAUUAUUCCCUUGGACCACUAUGAUCUUAUAUUAGGAAUGGAUUGGCUUGAGAAGUUCAGCCCAAUGAAAGUGCACUGGAAACUCAAAUGGAUGUCCAUACCUUACAAUGGGUCUUCAGCAGUUCUGCAUGGUCUUUCUUCUGAUCCAGAUACCCUCAUGAUUCAAGUCUGCUCCAUUGACACUUCUCACCAACCAGCUCCCAAUACUCAAGACCUUCCCCCACAAAUUGCUGCCCUACUUUCAGAGUUUGCUGCAGUCUUUGCCCCUAUAGAUGGCUUGCCACCGCCUAGACUAUGUGAUCAUUCCAUUCCUUUGGUGCCUGGUGCCAAACCUGUUUUUAUUCGGCCAUACCGCUACCCACCAGCACUUAAAGAUGAAAUUGAAAAACAAAUUCAAGAGAUGCUCGACAAGGGAAUUAUUAGACCCAGUACUAGCCCCUUUUCAUCUCCACUGUUGCUAGUCAAGAAAAAGGAUGGUUCCUGGCGACCAUGUGUGGAUUACAGAUACCUUAAUGCACUGACAAUUCGUGGUCAAUUUCCCAUUCCUGUUUUUGAUGAACUUGUUGAUGAGCUGUCUGGAGCAAGUUGGUUUUCUUCCCUGGACCUUAAUUCUGGUUUUCACCAAAUCCGAAUGAAAUCGGGAGAGGAAUUCAAAACAGCCUUCCAAACUCACUUCGGUCAUUUUGAAUUCAUGGUGAUGUCAUUUGGAUUAUGUGGGGCUCCUGCUUCCUUCCAGGGCGCUAUGAACUCGACUCUCAAGCCUUUACUCAGGAAAUGUGUUCUGGUCUUCUUUGAUGACAUCUUAAUAUAUAGCAAAACCUUCGAUGAGCAUCUGGCCCAUCUCAGAGCUGUACUCCAACUGCUGGCUGCUGAUCAAUGGCAAGUUAAACUAUCCAAGUGUUCUUUUGGCCAAAGACAGAUAUCUUAUCUGGGCCACAUCGUUAGCUCUGAAGGGAUUUCCACUGACAACAGCAAGAUCACCUCCAUUACAAAUUGGCCACAACCAACUAAUGCCAAAGAAUUGAGGAGCUUCUUGGGUCUUGCUGGUUACUACAGGAAGUUCGUCAGACAUUUUGCUAUCAUCGCCAAACCUUUAACUUCCCUGCUUAAGAAACACACUAUUUUUGUGUGGACUUCUCUUCAUCAAGAUGCAUUUGAUGCCCUUAAGACAGCGCUCAGUACAGCACCUGUAUUGGCAGCCCCAGAUUUCUCCAAACCAUUCUGUCUAGAAACAGAUGCCUGUGCUUCUGGGAUUGGAGCAGUUUUGGUUCAAAAUGGACAUCCCUUAGCCUAUAUCAGCAAACCCCUUGGGCCCAAGUCAGCAGGUUUAUCCACCUAUGAGAAAGAAUACUUAGCAAUCCUGAUGGCUGUGGAACAGUGGAGGUCUUACCUGCAACAUGGGGAAUUUAUAAUAUAUACUGAUCAAAAAAGUUUGAUCCACUUGUCUGACCAAAGGCUGAACACACCAUGGCAGCAAAAGGUUUUCUGCAAGUUAUUGGGCUUACAAUACAAAAUAGUGUAUAAACAAGGAACAUCUAAUAGGGUGGCUGAUGCCUUAUCUCGAAGACCUCACCCUACUUCUCAACUUUAUGCAGUCUCCAGUUGUGCACCAACCUGGACUACCUCUAUAGCACAAGGACAGUGCCUCUCAAGACAUUAUUGCUAAACUGGUUGUUGCUAAAGAUUCUGUACCUCAUUUCUCCUUACAAGAUGGUCUUCUCAAAUUCAAAGGUCGAGUGUGGAUUGGCAAUAACCAACCCCUUCAGUCUCUUGCUACUUGGGAAGACAUGGAAGCUUUGCAUCAACGUUUCCCAGCAGCACCUGCUUGGGGACAAGCAGGUCCUAAACAGGGGGGGAGUGUUAGGGCGCGUGAUCAUGCUGCGCCUGCCACGGACAAGCCAACGGAGAAGGUCCAAGCUGGGCCUCGUCGUUCCCUUCGGCCCAUCAUCCCCAAUGUCCGAAUCUCAGGUCCAGAGUGGAAAAGGCCCAUGUAAGUGUUCGUGUGAGUUGCGUGCGUGAUGUGCUCAGCUGAAGAUAAAUCAGCAGCGCGGUGCCGUUGUGCGCAUGUAUGCAAGAACAAGA
rnacentral:lncRNA from 1 species